UGGGGAAUUUUGGGCAAUGGGCGAAAGCCUGAUCCAGCAAUGCCGCGUGUGUGAAGAAGGCCUUCGGGUUGUAAAGCACUUUUGUCCGGAAAGAAAUGGCUCUGGUUAAUACCUGGGGUCGAUGACGGUACCGGAAGAAUAAGGACCGGCUAACUACGUGCCAGCAGCCGCGGUAAUACGUAGGGUCCAAGCGUUAAUCGGAAUUACUGGGCGUAAAGCGUGCGCAGGCGGUUGUGCAAGACCGAUGUGAAAUCCCCGAGCUUAACUUGGGAAUUGCAUUGGUGACUGCACGGCUAGAGUGUGUCAGAGGGGGGUAGAAUUCCACGUGUAGCAGUGAAAUGCGUAGAGAUGUGGAGGAAUACCGAUGGCGAAGGCAGCCCCCUGGGAUAACACUGACGCUCAUGCACGAAAGCGUGGGGAGCAAACAGGAUUAGAUACCCUGGUAGUCCACGCCCUAAACGAUGUCAACUAGUUGUUGGGGAUUCAUUUCCUUAGUAACGUAGCUAACGCGUGAAGUUGACCGCCUGGGGAGUACGGUCGCAAGAUUAAAAGCUCAAAUG
rnacentral:rRNA from 1 species